UUUCGGUUUAAAAAAGUGUUGACAGAAGGACCAAUGAAAAUAAACCCUUAAAAUGUUUUUAUCCAUCUAACAUCAUAGCAUAAUAUUUUAUUUUAUAUCUUCUUAUUAAUGAUAUGUUGUACAUACAAGCUACGUUUAAUUUAAAAUGAUGUAAUCUCAAAAUUGAGAAUGUAAUACUAAAAAUAUUAAUAUAAAAUGGUGAAAUAACAUUAAAUCAGUGUAAUAUUAUAUUAUAUAACUCACAUUAAUCUAUGGGACAUUUCCAAAAUAGAGUAAAAUGAAAUUGGUAUAAAACCAAGAAACCCCAUUUUUGAAUUGCAGGUACCUAUAGUCACGAAUGUUAGUAAAAGUAAAUAAAAAAUGAUGUUUUUGGUUAUAAUUGUACCUAAACUAAGUGGUGAACCAAUAUAUAGUUUCCGUCUAGUUCGA